rnacentral:ncRNA from 2 species
UACAUAUUGUUUCGUUCAGGUGUUCUAUCUUCGAAGACAAAGAUAGAGCUUAAUAGGGAAUCCGGUGCGAAACCGGAGCGGUCCCGCCACUGUAUGGGCGAGCCGCAAUCCGAAAAGCCACUGGUUAAGCUGAACGCGAGCCGGGAAGGCGGAUUGCCGGCGAUGACCCCGAGCCAGGAGACCUGCCUGAACGUUGAUGGACAC